AGAGAUAGAAGUGUCUAAGGAGGAGGAUGUAAAGCUGUUUGAGAACUGAAGGUCAUUAAAUUACCAGGACUAAAAGGUUUUAUUUUUCAAGGCAGUGAUCUUAACCAGACCCGCGGUCACAGCACUGACGCUGCGCAGGAGGAAACCUAGUAGUACAGCACUUGGCAAUUCACAAGGCUUGUCUGUGCAUAAGUCGUGUCAUACACAGUCACUGAUAAACUUGAAGAUCUCUAAACAAGCCCAGAGGCAGAAAUCUAGUCAUACUGAACAUCUGUAGCUCACAGACAACAGUGAUGGACAUUGCUUGAUAAGACAGAGUGAAUAAAGAUCCCGGACUCAGCCCUGAGACUGCAGCAUGUUCCCAACCAGGGAUGCUUCAACCAGAGCUGCUCUUCACUUGAUGGAGGAGUGGAAAGGCUCUGUACCUGAGGCUGCUGUGUUGGUGUCUAGCCAUUGUUCAAUGCAUAUCAGAUCCAGGUGAGAUGAUUCCUGAGUAGACUAUUCAAUUUCUUUGAAAGAAGGCAUAAUUUAUAUCCAAGAUAUAAUUGUUCUUUGACAUCUACACUGUUAUAGCCACUUUCUUUUUCAUCUUUCUUUUUUAUGUGCUGCCCUUCUGUAUAAUUGCCCUUGACUAAUUGGCUGUGACAGGCGAGAUGAAGUCUAGGAAGACACUAUAGUUUUGAAAUGAAUGUGCUUAGCUUGAAAUUGGAAAUACUGGAAUGAUCUGAAUCUUAGUUAUUUUCACGCUAUAGAGAAGUUCAUGGGAUUUUUGUUUUAAAUGGAAGCUGCUCGUUUUUCAGUAUAUCAUCUGGUCUUCAAAGGAUUCAACUGUUGCAGAUUUUAAGUAAUGUUAAUGCACCUUUUGUUUACUUCUACAUAAAUGGAAGAAACCAAUUGCCUUAAACUGUUUGUUUCAAGCCAGAACCAGGGUGGUUUUGUCCAAAAGCUUAAAAUAUCAUGAGAUUCAAGUUGCAAUAAAAUGAGAAUGGGAGAAGUGGGAGGAUUUAGCCAUACCCUAGAUACUGUUUAAUUCAGAGCCACAGAGGAAUAAAGCAAGCCUUACCAGGCUUCAUGAGGAAUUUAAUUGGCCCUGUUUGUAGAUAACAGAUACAUAAAUUAUAUUAAAAUCAUUUCUUGCACUGAAAAGAUGAACUCAUGUUGUGAUAUCCUCUAACACUGUAUUUUAGUCAAAUUUUGUGAUAUUUCAUGUGUUAAUUAACAUUUUAUAAUUAAUAUCUCCCUUGCAAGGAGAAAUAAAUACCCUGAAUUC
rnacentral:lncRNA from 7 species